rnacentral:rRNA from 1 species
AGUGAACGCUGGCGGUAGGCCUAACACAUGCAAGUCGAACGGCAGCACAGUAAGAGCUUGCUCUUACGGGUGGCGAGUGGCGGACGGGUGAGGAAUACAUCGGAAUCUACUUUUUCGUGGGGGAUAACGUAGGGAAACUUACGCUAAUACCGCAUACGACCUACGGGUGAAAGCAGGGGAUCUUCGGACCUUGCGCGAUUGAAUGAGCCGAUGUCGGAUUAGCUAGUUGGCGGGGUAAAGGCCCACCAAGGCGACGAUCCGUAGCUGGUCUGAGAGGAUGAUCAGCCACACUGGAACUGAACCACGGUCCAGACUCCUACGGGAGGCAGCAGUGGGGAAUAUUGGACAAUGGGCGCAAGCCUGAUCCAGCCAUACCGCGUGGGUGAAGAAGGCCUUCGGGUUGUAAAGCCCUUUUGUUGGGAAAGAAAAGCAGCAGGUUAAUACCCCGCUGUUCUGACGGUACCCAAAGAAUAAGCACCGGCUAACUUCGUG